rnacentral:rRNA from 1 species
AUUGAACGCUGGCGGCAGGCUUAACACAUGCAAGUCGAGCGGAGAUGAGGUGCUUGCACCUUAUCUUAGCGGCGGACGGGUGAGUAAUGCUUAGGAAUCUGCCUAUUAGUGGGGGACAACAUUCCGAAAGGAAUGCUAAUACCGCAUACGCCCUACGGGGGAAAGCAGGGGAUCUUCGGACCUUGCGCUAAUAGAUGAGCCUAAGUCGGAUUAGCUAGUUGGUGGGGUAAAGGCCUACCAAGGCGACGAUCUGUAGCGGGUCUGAGAGGAUGAUCCGCCACACGGGGACUGAGACACGGCCCAGACUCCUACGGGAGGCAGCAGUGGGGAAUAUUGGACAAUGGGCGGAAGCCUGAUCCAGCCAUGCCGCGUGUGUGAAGAAGGCCUUUUGGUUGUAAAGCACUUUAAGCGAGGAGGAGGCUACCUGGAUUAAUACUCUAGGAUAGUGGACGUUACUCGCAGAAUAAGCACCGGCUAACUCUGUGCCAGCAGCCGCCGUAAGAC